CCAUUUUACAUUACAUGUCCACUACUAAUCUAUUACACUUAAUAUAACCUUCAACCUUGACGACUUCCAGGUCUAUCCUGAACCUGCAACCCUGGGGGUUAGGGGAAAGGGGUGAGCUACAAAGCCCAGUGAGCAGAAUGAUAAAAACAAUUCAUUAGACAUAUGCCAUCAUGAGAUGCAUCACAUCACAAACAAAUCACAUCAAGGAUGGACUUGUCACCAAUAACCCUCUAUAUAUCCAACUGUGCCAGGGGCGUAGAAUGGGCCUCGACCUGGACUUUCUCUUACAUCGUGCCAGGGGUGUAGAAUGGGCCUUGACCUGGACUUACAUAUCAUACCAUAUCAUAUCAUAUCAUAUCAUAUCGAGGGCUAAUGGAUCAUCCAAUAUCCAUCCACAUCAACAAUAAUUUAUGCAAUGCGUCAUAUUCGUGCAUUCUAAUGCAACAACCUAUAAACAUGGCAAUCGUGAUGCAUGAACAUGCUUAAGUUUUUUAGUUGCUUGAAAUAAAAUAGAGUUGUG
rnacentral:lncRNA from 1 species